rnacentral:pre_miRNA from 1 species
ACUAAAUUAUUUCAGUUCUAUGUUGCAUACAGUUAAGCAGUCAGGAACUUUGCACAUGAGCAGGAAUCAAAGUUAAG